rnacentral:rRNA from 1 species
AGUCGCAAGAUCGCGAGGUUUAGCAAAUCUCUUAAAGCCGUUCUCAGUUCGGAUUGUAGGCUGCAACUCGCCUACAUGAAGUCGGAAUCGCUAGUAAUCGCGGAUCAGCAUGCCGCGGUGAAUACGUUCCCGGGCCUUGUACACACCGCCCGUCACACCAUGAGAGUUUGUAACACCCAAAGCCGGUGGGGUAACCUUUUGGAGCCAGCCGUCUAAGGUGGGACAGAUGAUUGGGGUGAAGUCGUAACAAGGUAGC